GACGAACGCUGGCGGCGUGCUUAACACAUGCAAGUCGAACGGUAAGGCCCCAGCUUGCUGGGGUACACGAGUGGCGAACGGGUGAGUAACACGUGGGUGACCUGCCCCGCACUUCGGGAUAAGCCUGGGAAACUGGGUCUAAUACCGGAUAGGACCGCACCGUGAGGGUGUGGUGGAAAGUUUUUCGGUGUGGGAUGGGCCCGCGGCCUAUCAGCUUGUUGGUGGGGUAAUGGCCUACCAAGGCGGCGACGGGUAGCCGGCCUGAGAGGGUGGACGGCCACAUUGGGACUGAGAAACGGCCCAGACUCAUAAGGGAGGCAGCAGUGGGGAAUAUUGCACAAUGGGCGGAAGCCUGAUGCAGCGACGCCGCGUGGGGGAUGACGGCCUUCGGGUUGUAAACUCCUUUCACCAUCGACGAAGGUUUUCUGACGGUAGAUGGAGAAGAAGCACCGGCUAAAUACGUG
rnacentral:rRNA from 1 species